GGCGGACGGGUGAGUAAUGUCUGGGAAACUGCCUGAUGGAGGGGGAUAACUACUGGAAACGGUAGCUAAUACCGCAUAACGUCGCAAGACCAAAGAGGGGGGACCUUCGGGCCUCUUGCCAUCGGAUGUGCCCAGAUGGGAUUAGCUUGUUGGUGGGGUAACGGCUCACCAAGGCGACGAUCCCUAGCUGGUCUGAGAGGAUGACCAGCCACACUGGAACUGAGACACGGUCCAGACUCCUACGGGAGGCAGCAUG
rnacentral:rRNA from 1 species